rnacentral:rRNA from 1 species
CAGCCGCCGCGGUAACACAGAGGGUGCGAGCGUUAAUCGGAUUUACUGGGCGUAAAGCGUGCGUAGGCGGCUUCUUAAGUCGGAUGUGAAAUCCCUGAGCUUAACUUAGGAAUUGCAUUCGAUACUGGGAAGCUAGAGUAUGGGAGAGGAUGGUAGAAUUCCAGGUGUAGCGGUGAAAUGCGUAGAGAUCUGGAGGAAUACCGAUGGCGAAGGCAGCCAUCUGGCCUAAUACUGACGCUGAGGUACGAAAGCAUGGGGAGCAAACAGGAUUAGAUACCCGGGUAGUCCCUGUCUCUUAUAC